rnacentral:rRNA from 1 species
UGGGGAAUAUUGCACAAUGGGGGAAACCCUGAUGCAGCAACGCCGCGUGAGUGAAGAAGUAUUUCGGUAUGUAAAGCUCUAUCAGCAGGGAAGAAAGUGACGGUACCUGACUAAGAAGCCCCGGCUAACUACGUGCCAGCAGCCGCGGUAAUACGUAGGGGGCAAGCGUUAUCCGGAUUUACUGGGUGUAAAGGGAGCGUAGACGGCACAGCAAGUCUGAAGUGAAAUCCCCGGGCUCAACCCGGGAACUGCUUUGGAAACUGUUGGGCUAGAGUGCUGGAGAGGCAAGCGGAAUUCCUAGUGUAGCGGUGAAAUGCGUAGAUAUUAGGAGGAACACCAGUGGCGAAGGCGGCUAUCUGGCUAUAUAUUGACACUGAGGCACGAAAGCAUGGGGAUCAAACAGGAUUAGAUACCC